rnacentral:rRNA from 1 species
AGAGUUUGAUCAUGGCUCAGGAUGAACGCUAGCGGCAGGCUUAAUACAUGCAAGUCGAGGGGCAGCAUGGUGUAGCAAUACACUGAUGGCGACCGGCAAACGGGUGCGGAACACGUACGCAACCUUCCUUUGAGUGGGGAAUAGCCCAGAGAAAUUUGGAUUAAUACCCCGUAAGAUCGUGGUGAGGCAUCUCACAGCGAUAAAAGCUGAGGCACUUAAAGAUGGGCGUGCGCCUGAUUAGGUAGUUGGUGAGGUAACGGCUCACCAAGCCGACGAUCAGUAACUGGCGUGAGAGCGCGACCAGUCACACGGGCACUGAGACACGGGCCCGACUCCUACGGGAGGCAGCAGUAAGGAAUAUUGGUCAAUGGACGCAAGUCUGAACCAGCCAUGCCGCGUGGAGGAUGAAGGUCCUCUGGAUUGUAAACUUCUUUUAUCUGGGAAGAAAUGUGCGCUUUCUAGCGUAUUUGACGGUACCAGAUGAAUAAGCACCGGCUAACUACGUGCCAGCCGCCGCGGUAAUUC